ensembl:lncRNA
CUGAACUGAACUGAACUGAACAGGUUUAAAGGUAUAAAGUUAGAGAUAUAUGUUCUUUGUAUCUAUUAGUUGCUGAAAUUAGUGACCCGAAAUUGUGAAUACUUUCCAGAUUUGGAGGAAUUAACCUGAUUAGGGUACAAAAAUGUUGAAGAUCCUACCUGAUGGCACAUUCAGGAAUAAUGGAGGAAAAGGCUUUGAUGCAAAUUAAAGGAAGCUGACGGGAGGAGAGACCAGCCUCCAACUGGUCACCCUGUGUAGGGGACCCAGCCCCAGCUGGGGCCUGGAUGGAUGUCCUCAGACACAGGAAUGACCCAUGCUGGGCAGUUCCUGUCUUCAGGAGCCUGACUGCAGGUCCGGCUGGGUCCAGCUGGGUCCGAGGCUCACUUCCUGGGAAGUGAGUCCAGUCACUUCCGGACUAGUUCACGGCGGAAGUCGUGGGAGGCCGGCUGCUGGUAUACCAGAGCAGAAGUUGACUCAGCAUAAGAACACAUGGUCCUGCAAACCCCGCGGGGAAACACCAGCCCCCAGGUUUUCAAACGGUCAGCUGGGGCUCAGAAUGAUUAAAUGGCCUGCCUGAGGCCACAUAGCCAGGAAGGGAUUCAGUCCCGGGUCCACAUGACGCCGAAGUCCGUGUUCUUCUUCCUUUUCUAAGCAGCCACCAUGCUUCUGUGGAGACCUAGGAGGUGUCUGUCUUAGAGCCCCGCUCAUCACUGUCACCUGUGGCUCCCUGGUGGUUAGCCCAUUGAGUAUUAGGGAGGGGACUGUAGAGUUCAGCCAGGGCUGCCUUCUGUUGGGUGGGCUAUUCAUGGGGCUGUUUUGCUUUGAUUCAACUCCCAGGGUCCCCAGAUUCCUUCUUGACCUGUAGAGUGUCCUGGGAUGAGGUGGCUUGACCAGCACAAUCACUUGUAUGAUUGAGCCAAGACUGGGAGAAACUGACUUCUCUCAAGCGACCAGCCUUGUCCAGCCUCACUCAUAUACUGCUUCCCACACAGGAACAGAAGCCCUCCAUGCCUCCCACAGCCUUGGAGACAAGCUAUGUCUUCUGUCAGUCAGCUCAGUUCAGUUCAGUCGCUCAGUCUCAGACACGACUGAGCAACUGAACUGAACUGAACUUCACUGAAUAUUCACAAGUCUUAAAUUAGCCAAGACCCCCACUGUUUCUCAGGGAGGGAAAACUGGGUAAACUUUCCAAUUUCUGUGCCCCUUCUGUGCCUUAGCAAUGGCCCCAGGAUGGCUAUUGUCAGUGAAAUCUGGAAUGCAACAUCAAUUAUAUUCUCCUAUUUAUAUUUUCCAGUUUCAAAAAUGCUUAUUCGAUUUAUUUAAACUAAAAUAAAUAACCAAUUCACCCAUUUCUUCCACCUUGCCACCUCCCACCUCCAACAGCCAUCAGCCUGUUUUCUAUUUGUUGGUUUUUGUCUUUUAGCUUCCACAUAUAAGAGAGAUAAUACAGUAUUUGUCCUUCUCUGCCUGACUUCACUUAGCAUAAUGCCCUCAAAUUCAUUUUGUUGCAAG